rnacentral:lncRNA from 1 species
CUUGUUUCAUCUCUACAAGUUUGGGCCCUUGUUUCUACAGUUUGGGAGAGUUCUUUGUAGUUUUAGUUGUUUACAAUGAGCCUCGUGGAUCAUCAAAAUGCGAGGAUUUACUCUCCACAGAUGCAGCAAGUUUUGGAUCUUUAGCAGAUGACUGACAAACUAUGGCGUGUAUCGUUAUAUUAUUCUUUGGACUAGUUCUUGUAAGUGUACUAUGCGGAGAUUUGAAAGUAUUUAAAGUGUAUAAUAGGUUCAAGUGAAAGUAGAGG